UUGGCCGAUCGCCUUGAGUUGAUCAUGGCUCAGACGAACGCUGGCGGCGUGGAUAAGACAUGCAAGUCGAGCGAGAUUUUUUCCUGUAGCAAUACAGGGAAAAGUCUAGCGGCGAACGGGUGCUUAACACGUGGGCAAUCUGCCGAGAAGUGGGGGAUAGCUCGCCGAAAGGCGAAUUAAUACCGCAUGUGAUGAGAGUGGACAUCCAUUCAAAAUCAAAGUCGGGGCAACCUGACGCUUCUUGAGGAGCCCGCGGCCUAUCAGCUAGUUGGUGAGGUAACGGCCCACCAAGGCUUAGACGGGUAGCUGGUCUGAGAGGACGACCAGCCACACUGGGACUGAGACACGGCCCAGACACCUACGGGUGGCAGCAGUCGAGAAUUUUUCUCAAUGGGGGAAACCCUGAAGGAGCGACGCCGCGUGGAGGAUGAAGGUCUUCGGAUUGUAAACUCCUGUCAUUGGGGAACAAUGCGUAAAUAUUAACUGUAUUUGCGUUGAUAGUACCCGAAGAGGAAGAGACGGCUAACUCUGUGCCAGCAGCCGCGGUAAUACAGAGGUCUCAAGCGUUGUUCGGAUUCAUUGGGCGUAAAGGGUGCGUAGGCGGCGCGGUAAGUCGGGUGUGAAAUCUCGGAGCUUAACUCCGAAACUGCAUUCGAUACUGCCGUGCUUGAGGACUGGAGAGGAGACUGGAAUUUACGGUGUAGCGGUGAAAUGCGUAGAUAUCGUAAGGAAGACCAGUGGCGA
rnacentral:rRNA from 1 species